rnacentral:rRNA from 1 species
CGGAGGGUGCUAGCGUUGUUCGGAAUUACUGGGCGUAAAGGGCGCGUAGGCGGCUUCUUGCGUCGGAUGUGAAAGCCCGGGGCUCAACCUCGGAACGGCAUCCGAUACGGGGGAGCUGGAGACCGGGAGAGGAGGGUGGAAUAGCCAGUGUAGAGGUGAAAUUCGUAGAUAUUGGCUGGAACACCGGUGGCGAAAGCGGCUCUCUGGCCCGGUUCUGACGCUGAGGCGCGAAAGCGUGGGGAGCAAACAGGAUU